rnacentral:rRNA from 1 species
CCGGGGGCUGCCGUCGAGAAUUUUUCCCCAUGGGCGCAAGCCUGCUGGAGCGACGCCGCGUGGGGGAUGAAUGGCUUCGGCCCGUAAACCCCUGUCAUUUGCGAUCAACCGUUGUUGUUUAAGAGAUGACAACCUGAUAGUAGCGAAAGAGGAAGGGACGGCUAACUCUGUGCCAGCAGCCGCGGUAAUACAGAGGUCCCAAGCGUUGUUCGGAUUCACUGGGCGUAAAGGGUGCGUAGGUGGCAAGGUAAGUCGGAUGUGAAAUCUCCGAGCUGAACUCGGAAAGGGCAUUGGAAACUGCUUGGCUCGAGGGUUGGAGGGGGGACUGGAAUACUUGGUGUAGCAGUGAAAUGCGUAGAUAUCAAGUGGAACACCAGUGGCGAAGGCGAGUCCCUGGACAACUCCUGACACUGAGGCACGAAAGCUAGGGGAGCAAACA